rnacentral:snRNA from 1 species
AAAAAAAAAAAAAAAAAAAAACAGGUCAUUCCGCCACCCCAUUCAUCAACAGGGUAGAUUUGACUGAUCAGCUGACUAGGCAGAUGUCUCUUUCCUUCCUAGCCACUCCAAGUGCAUCCCUCCUGAAGCUGCAAAGAGGAGAAUAACCUUCCCUGAAUAGAGGAUAAUCGGUCUUCUGGUCAAGUGUUCAUAAGUAGCUAUGUUCCCCUGCUAGACAUCCCAAACAAGCUCUUAAGAAACCAGAAGAGAGCUCAGAAUUGUUCCUUAAACAGCAUUU